UCCAUUUAUCUAAAAGAAUUUUAUUUAACCGCUGAACAACAUCAGGUUUAAGUUUUUCAAUCUUUUUCAUUUAUUUCUCAAACUUUCUUAUUUGUAUUUGCAUAGCAACCUUCUUCACCAAUAUCCCUUGGUUUUGAAUCCUCAAAUCAUGAAUUAAAAUUACUUGUUACAUGACGUAAGGAAAAUACAUGGAAUGCAUGUGGUGGUUGCCAACCAAGAAACUGAUUAUCUACUAUGGAUAAGAUACUAGCA
rnacentral:lncRNA from 1 species